GGAACAAUUGGUCAUAUAGCUCCUGAGUACCUUGCUACUGGUAAGUGUUCGGUGAAAAUUGAUGUUUAUGGUUAUGGAAUGUUUCUUCUUGAGCUCAUCACAGCACAGAGAGCUUUUGAUCCUGCUCGUCUUGCCAAUGAUGAUGACGUGAUGUUACUAGAUUGGGUGAGUCUUGAUCUUAACUCAUCUACUCUCUUAAAAAUGCAGAUGUAAGGCAUUGCAAAUCAUUUAAAUAGUUGGAAGCUUAAAUACUUUGUGAUAAGAGAUAUUUUGAUCAUUGUAAUAUAAUCUUGUGAUGAUGAGUCUUGGCAAUAUUUGCAUUUGAAAUUUUGAAGUAGCAAUUUCAGAAAUAUAAAGUUCUUGACGCAUUUUUCAGUUCCAUCCAUUAUUAUUUUUAUUAUUUGGUUUCUUGGAAUUUUAUAAUUUUACCUCAGGUAAAUCAAAUUUUCAAGGAGAGAGAAUGGAAAGUGAUUGUCGAUUCAGAACUUCAAGGUGAUUUCGUAGAUGAAGAAGCCGAGGAGUUGUUGCAAAUUGCUCUGAUCUGCACACAAACUGAUCCAGAACAACGUCCGAUGAUGUUGGAAGUUGUGAGGAUGUUAGAAGUUGCAUAUGAGUUGGCUGAGAUGGAGGCAGAGUGGUUCAUGGAUAAUUUCGAAGGAAAUACUUUGGAACGUCAUUAUGUUACGUAGGAUUUUUGCUCUAGGAUAAACUACAGGCAGCAACAGAGGAUUUUAGCGACAAAAUUAUCAGUGAAGAUAGUUUUAAUAUUAUCUAUAAAGGCUUAUUUAGAUGGCUCUCCUGUCGCAGUUUAAAAGAUACAAUUCUCAAAGCCUAGAAUAUUAUUUCGCAAAAGAAUUAGAGAUUGGCACAACUUGUUUCCAUCCAAAUCUAGUCCACGUGAUUGGAUUUUGCCGGACUCCAGAAGAACGACUGCUUGUUUUCCGGUUGAUGGUCAAUGGAAGUGUCGAAUCAUGGUUAAGGGGUAAGCUUGACCAAGUGUUAUUCAAUUUCUCUUCUACAUAUGUAUAGGUAUGAUUUUACUGUGAUCUCUUGAGAUAUAUUGCAUCUUCUAUUUGCUAUAUUGUACCAAAAAGUUCAUUAUCUUUGACCAGAUUUUGGUUUUAGACACGACUUGAAAACGUUUCAAUGAUGACACCACUUUUUUGAUUUGUAGCAAAAUAGUCGACCUUACGUUUCGAUAGUGAGGCCAUUAUUGAAACGUUUAAUGAGUUGUAAUCUAAAACAUAAAAAUUGGGUCAAAGUUGGUGAAUAUUUGGGAAAUUAACCCUUAUUUUAGUAGGUUCUGGUUGGUUAACUUAUUCUUUAUAAAGUUUAUAGGGAUGCAUGAUGCAAGGUAAUUACUUGUGUACGAGAAAUGUCCCGUUUUCUUAAUAUUGUGCAUGAGAACCUCAUUCUCCUUUCUGCAAGUUGCAACUCUUGCUUUAGCUUGCCUGAUAAUGUAUAUUUAGCACAAUCAUAAUAUCCUCUCUCACGCAGCACAUCAAUGUUUCCCACUUUCCUAAGAUUAGGAAAUUAACAUUGCAUGUUGACAUAUUUUGCAGAGAGCAGAUCGGUUUAGUGGAUUUAUUGUUUUCAAUUUUUCUGUUGCAUAGACAUAAGUUUCUGAAUUUACUAUAUGUAGCAGGGAGACGAUGAAUCACGGCCUCCUCUCACUUGGCAAGAAGAAAAGGAAUAGCACUUGGUGCAGCAAGGGGUCUAGCUUAUUUACAUGAUAAAUGUGAAAUGAAAAUCAUUCAUUGCGAUGUCAAAGCUGCAAAUAUAUUGUUAGAUGAAAACUUUGAAGCAGUCGUUGCUGACUUGAAGUCAGCCAAGUUCAUGGACCACAGCAUGACUCAUAUUACCACAACCGUGACAGGAACAAUUGGUCAUAUGGCUCCCGAGUACCUCGCCAGUGGUAGGUGUUCGGAUAAAAACUGAUGUUUUUGGUUAUGGAGCAUUUCUUCUUGAGCUCAUCACAGGGCACAGAACUGCCGAUCUUCUUGAUGUAGCCGAUGAGGAAGAUAGGCUGUAGUGCUUAUGGGUAAGAUCAACUUGCCUAUUAAGUUUAUUCUAUGACUACCAAGACAUUGCUAGUUCGUAAGUCCCCUAUUUUGCAGUUCUAGUUUGCCCAUCUCAUACAUCUAAUCUCAGGUAAAAAAGAAUUACAAAGAGGGAAGAUGGAAAUUGAUGGUUGACAAAGAUAGUGGUGGAGGUGAUUUCAUGGACGAAGUGGUGGUGGAUCAGCUGGUGAAAAUAGCUGUUCUCUGCACACAAUAUGAUCCGGACAGACGUCCGAGGAUGUCGCGUGUUGUGAGUAUAUUAAAAUAUGGUUGUGGUGUGGCUGAGUGGUCCGAUGAGCGGUUUGAAAAAGAGGUCGGAGAAGAAGAGUAUGAUGGCAGCUGUUCUCCUCGGAUAUCAGAAAAACUAUCUGAGCCAAGAUGAUCAUGCAAUAUUUCAAGAAUUAGAGAUUGGCAGAACUUGUUUCCAUCCAAAUCUAGUGCAUGUGAUUGGAUUUUGCGAGACUCCAGAAGAACGACCGCUUGUUUUCCGGUUGAUGGUCAAUGGAAGUGUCGAAUCAUGGUUAAGGGGUAAGCUUGACCGAAUGUUAUUCAAUUGCUCUUCUACAUAUGUAUAGGUAUCAUGAUUUUACUGUGAUCUCUUGAGAUAUGUUGCAUCUUCUAUUUACUAUUUUGUACCAAGAAGUUCAUCAGCUUUUACUAGAUUUUGGAUUUGGGGGGUGUAUUCGUUGUAGAAUUUGAUGGAUUUAUAUGGAUUUUAAAAGUCUGGGUGUAUUCGUUCAAGACUUUUAAAAGUCUGCAGAAAUCUGGGUGUAUUCGUUCAAAACUUUUAAAAGUCCAUAUAAAUCUGGGUGUAUUCGUUCAAGAUUUUUUAAAAUCCAUACAAAUUUAGGUGUAUUCGUUAUUCCAUUGACUUAAAAUCCGGAAUGACUUUCAUGGAUUUCAUCCAAAAAAUACACACGACAAAAUCCGGCCAAGAACCACGAGAAUUGAAAUCCAUGAAGUUUUAAGCGAGCGCUGAGUUCCAGCUCCCGCGGGGGUGUCCAGCGAGCGCUGGGUGUGCGCGGGCGCUGGGUUCCCAGCGGCCGCUGGGUUGCCGCGGUCGCUGGGUCCAGGCAGCCCAGCCACCCACGCUUUUUAUACUGCUCUUCGGUUUUUUUUUUCUCAUUACUCCAAAAAUAUACCACAGAAGCAGACUUUGGUUUUUCAGCGCUCGCUGGAACUCAGCGGUCGCUGGGUUUCCAGCGGUUGCUGGGACUCCGUGGGCGUUGGGUCUCUUCUAGCGGGCGCUGAUUUCAUGGAAUUCAAUUCCAAAAUUAUCCCGUAAAGUCUUCGAAAAUCAAUGAAAAUCGGGGUGAAAUCCAACCACGAAUUCUUUGAAAGUCGUCUGAAAUCUAUGUGAAUUCCAUGGAAUUUAAAUUCCAUGUACUUUUUAAAGUCUGUGGAAAUCCACAACGAAUACACCCCCUUAGACACGAGUCCACGACUUUAAAAUGUUUCAAUAAUGACACCACUCUUUGGAUUUGUAGCAACAUAGUCGACCUCACGUUUCAAUAGUGAGGCCAUUAUUGAAACGUUUAAUGAGUCAUAUCUAAACCUAAAGUUGGGUAAAAGUUCAUGAAUAUUGGGGCAAUUGUGUACGAGAAAUGUACCUUUUUCUUAAUAUUGUGCAUGAGAACCUCAUUUCUCCUUUUUGCAAGUUGCAACUCUUGCUUUAGUUUGCCUGAUAAGUGAUAAUAUAUAUUUAGCACAAUUACUUAUCCAAUUAGGAGAUUUACACAACCUUCAUCUCCAUGUUUAUCAUAUUUUCCUCCCACACUAGUAUAAAUAGGGACUCAAUUCCUACUAUAUAAAAAAAAGAGACACGCAUACAUAGCCUAAGGUAAAAUUUUUAUUCCUUUUUACCAUCAAAGUCAGAAGGGUUUUUGUUGGCUAAUUGGUUUGACGUUGAAGUUAAAGGCAAAUAGUUAUUUAGGACUUUCAUCCGUCAAGAUAAUCCAAAGCGAGUUUAAGGUGGGGAAUUAUAUGCUCGUUGUUAUAUCCAUGCAUGUUUUUAUGUGUUUUAAAUUCAUGUUUGAUUAUAUUUGCUCAAUUACAUGUCCAAAUACAUGUUCAGUUUAUCAUGUUCAAAUACAUGAUUAGAGAUUUUGUUACAUGUCCAUAUACAUGUUCAGUUUAUCAUGUCUGUUUGCCACUCAGAUUUCUGUAUAUGUGCAUGACAAUGUGAUUUAUUAACAUGCUUUAGAGUAUGUAGAUAUUUGCCUUGUUCCUCACUGAGUAUAUUUUCAACAUGAUCACUCUAUUUUCCUUUCAGUUUUGCAGUUUCUGGAGUCCAAGCAGUCCCGGGAGCCGAGAAUGACUAGUACGAAUAGUUUAUUUUCUUUGUUAUAUCUUUUUUAGUUCAAUGAAAUUUAUGAUAAAUUUAAAUUCAGACCACUUAGUUAGAUUUCCUAUGUUAUGGUUUUUUUUUUAGAAAUUGUUUCAAUUUAAAAUAUUUAUUUAAUGGACAUGGCAAUAGAUUUGUUUAAGUUUGUCAAAUUGGUUUUAAUUUGCUAAACUUUUAUAGUCAAGUUUGGUUAUUUAUUUAAUUUUAGUGUGUUAAAAAUUAGAGUGUAACAUAUCAUCUCUCACGCAGCACAUCAAUGUUUCCCACUUAUCCUAAGAUUAGGCAAUUAACAUCGCAUGUUGAGAUAUUUUGCAGAGAGCAGAUCGCUUUAGUGGAUUUAUUGUUUUCAAUUUUUCUGUUGCAUAGACAUAAGUCUCACUUGGCAGAGAUGAAAAAGGAUAGCACUUGGUGCGGCAAGGGGUCUAGCUUAUUUGCAUGAAAAAUGUGGAAAGAAAAUCAUUCAUCGCGAUGUCAAAGCUGCAAAUAUAUUGUUAGAUGACAACUUUGAAGCAGUCGUUGCUGACUUCAAGUCAGCCACGUUCAUGGACCACAGCACGACUCAUAUUACCACAACCGUGGCGGGAACAAUUGGUCAUAUAGCUCCCGAGUACCUUGCCAGUGGUAGGUGUUCGGAUAAAACUGAUGUUUUUGGUUAUGGAGAAUUUCUUCUUGAGCUCAUCACAGGGCACAGAACUGUCGAACUUCUUGAAGUAGCCGAUGAGGAAGAUAGGAUGUGUGCUGAUUGGGUGAGAUCAACUUGCCUUUUAAGUUUUAUUCUAUGUCUACCUGAGAGUUUGCUAGUUGUAAGUCAUUAUAAAUCUAAUCUCAGGUAAAAAAGAAUUACGAAGAGGGAAGAUGGAAAUCGAUGGUUGAGAAAGAUAGUGGUGGAGGUGAUUUCAUGGACGCAGUGGUGGUGAAGCAGCUGGUGAAAAUAGCUGUUCUCUGCACACAAUACGAUCCCGACAGACGUCCGAGGAUGUCGCAUGUUGUGAGUAUGCUAAAAUGUGGUUGUGGUGUGGCUGAGAGGUCCGACCAGAGGUUCAAAGAAGUGGUCGGAGAAGAAGAGUAUGAUGGCAGCUGUUCUCCUCUGAUAUCAGAAGAACUAUCUGACCCAAGAUGAUCAUGCAAUAUUUCAAGAAUUCAUUGCAAGAAAGUUCACCAUGCUGUGACCUGAUUUUGUUUUGGGACACACUUUAUAAGUUACUUCAAUAGUGAAACUACUUUUCGAUUUGUAGCAAAAUAGGCAGGCUCAAGAUUUUCCAACGAUUGAAAAAUGGACUUAGGCAUGAUUGUUUUCAACGCCAGUGGGAAAUUUGAAGCGUGAAAGAAAAUGCCAAGUCAUAUGUUUCAAUCAUCGGAAAAUUUUGAACUUGCCUAUUAUGUUACAAAUUGAAAAAUUAUGUUAUUAUUGAAAUAAUUUUUAAAAUAAUUGUAAUUUAUCAUCGCAAAAUAUUACUGUCUUUAUCCGUUUUACACGAUUAUUUAGAAGUAAAUAUCUUAUUGUAUAUAAAAUUUCUUUAUCUAUUUAUUAGUGUAAAUAAGUGAUCCUGAUUUUUGCUGAAAAUUAACUAAGCGAAAUUCGAUCAGAUAGCUCGAAAAAAAAUGCAGACGGAUCGAAAGGAGUAAUUAUAUAGCAAUGAUAUAAGCGAAAAUCACUAGUAAUCGUAGUCACUCCUCUCGUUGACUAGACUUUUGAACGCGCUUUUCUAACUCUUUUCCACUCAACUAAAAUUCCGCGAAGUUUUAAAUGCAAGGGAAAGAGAAUAACCAUUUCAUCACUCUCUCCCACAUAUUUUGCCUCUCUUUAGCAGAAUCCCAUGCAAUAAUUUAGUUGAAAACUGAAGAGAGAUGAUGUCGUCGUCGCGAGAUAAUUGGGAGAGGCUGGUGGCGGCGGUGUUGAAGAGAGAUGAGAUACGCCAACUCUGCCACCAAAACUCCAUCUCCACCACGUCAUCCGAUAGUCCGAGAACCUCUACUUCCAGUGGAGAUCUUUCCAGGUGAUUUUGUGUUCAUCUCAAUUUCGGGCGUAAAUUACAGCAUCAGUGACGUUUCUAAUAAAAAAAUUCCUCGACUGCUAUGGAAAUUUGAGAAUAUUUCAGAAUUCUGAGCAACAUAUUGAAGCGGAUACCCGUAUCACCACCGCGUCAACCGCCGCUUAUUAGCGCUUCUGGCCUCGAAGGUUCGUCUCCAUUUACAUGUUACAAGUCGUUGGCGGGAUUAGAGUAUAUGAUCUUGCAAUUGCUAUCAUGUUGUCAUUGUAUAAUUGGGGAAAAUUGAAUUAGAGUCUUUGUGCUUUGCGGAACUGGAUAAAACAAGGAAGGCGUUUGGUUUGGCUUAAGCUUUGUUUAAAUUUGUAUAUUUAUAUGACUUUAGAAAUAAAUUACAGAUGAUGGAGCUUCGGAAAUGUUAGUAAUGAUAAAUUUGUAACUAUGUUAUAGCAAAAGAAACUGUUUUACUGUCUUAAUUGUUAUUUAAUAUACAAUCUUUUAAAAUUUAUAGGGUAUUCGACAUCUUAGGAGCUUAUAGUUUCAUUUAAGAACCAAUCCCUUUUCUCCUCACACCAACAUUUUGAAGUAGUGUCUUUUUCUUAUACAAGAAUACAACAUAAAUUACAAUAAUAAACAGAUCGGUGUCCAGUCAGAUCAAUAUAAUCUUUGAAAAAAUCCCAGAUAACUUAGGUCGAUCAAUCUACACUCACAGUAGAAAUCAGAUUUGUGAGAUCAACCUCUCAUGGGCCAGUUUGAACUGGUACUUAAAGAGUUUUCAUUAACUCUGGUCUUUUGAUUAAUGUUUAAUUCUUAGCUAGAUAGUAUGGAAUUGCAGCUAGGGAAAAUACUUCUGGACCUAUUACAAGGAAGCUCUUUUCUGCUUCGCUUUGGAGGAGGAAACCGAAGGACUACAAUCUGGGCCGAGGUUUGGUUGGCAUUCCUGGUUAGUUGCAAAAUGGCUUGAAAUAAACUUUGUAUACGUAUUGCAUAUAGCUAUAUGAACAGAGUAACUUAUUUCCUUCAACUGUUGAUGAAGAGGAUCAUUUUGGACUUGAGAGCUUUUCCCUACACGAGCUACUUGUUGCGACAGACAAUUUUAGCAACAUCAAUUUCCUUGGACAUGGUGGAUUUGGUAAAGUGUAUAAAGGUCGACUAGCAGAUGGCUCUCUAGUACAAGUUACAAGACUACAACGACAAUAAAUUGAGAUAAAUUUGGAAAUUAUAAGCAUUGCUGCACAUUGUAAUGUACUUCGUGCUCGUGGAUUUUGCUUUACGCAAAAAGAGAAGCUGCUCGUUUAUCCUUGCAUGGUUAAUAAAAGUGUGGCGUUCUGGUUAAGAGGUAAUCUCAAUCAAAUAUUCAUAUUCUUUCGUUGGUCUAUUUUUGUUCGAUAACCAUAUUAGGCUUCGUGAAGAACUCAGGGUUGCAGUUUUACAGACUGUUGGAAUAGAUUUGUAGCUUCUUUUAAACCCCUUUUUAAGUCAUCUAGAGGGAAAGUAACCAUAAUUAGUAAUUGGGGGCAAGUUUGUACAUACAAUUUAGUUGUGAGAAGUUAGUUUUGUUUGUUAUAUCGUAAAGUCUGUGUUUAUCAUAACAGUAUCAAAUAAACAAAUUUAAAGACAGCCACAAGGAAAGAAACCAGAAUUAGGAAUUAGGCAAGAACCCCAUACAACUUAGCCAACACACUCACACACAGUUUUGUUUGUUAUAUUAUGUAAAGUCUUUGUGUUUAUUAUAUUUUGUAAUUGAUUUGGAAUUUUGUUAUGGAUACAUUAUAUUUCUAAUAAACCUACCGACUCCAGAAAGACAUGGGCCACUGCCUCCCCUUGACUGGCCAACAAGGAAACAGAUAUCGCUUGGGGCUGCAAAGGGUCUAGCUUACUUGCAUUAUGAAUGCCCCAGGAAAAUCAUUCAUCGUGAUGUUAAAGCUGCAAAUAUAUUGUUGGAUGAGAACUUUGAAGCAGUUAUUGCUGACUUAACUUUGGGCGAAUUUGUCGAUCGUUGCGAUAGUGAUAUUGCUUCCAGUAAGAGGAACAAUUGGUCAUGUAGCUCCUGAGUACCUUGCUACUGGUAAGUGUUCGGUGAAAAAUGAUGUUUAUGGUUAUGGAAUGUUUCUUCUUGAGCUCAUCACAGCACAGAGAGCUUUUGAUCCUGCUCGUCUUGCCAAUGAUGAUGACGUGAUGUUACUAGAUUGGGUGAGUCUUGAUCUUAACUCAUCUACUCUCUUAAAAAUGCAGAUGUAAGGCAUUGCAAAUCAUUUAAAUAGUUGGAAGCUUAAAU
rnacentral:lncRNA from 1 species